UACGGAGGAUGCGAGCGUUAUCCGGAUUUAUUGGGUUUAAAGGGUGCGCAGGCGGCACGGCAAGCCGGCGGUCAAAUCGCGGGGCUCAACCCCGCCCAGCCGUCGGAACUGCCGGGCUAGAGUGGGCGAGAAGUGCGCGGAAUGCGUGGUGUAGCGGUGAAAUGCGUAGAUAUCUCGCAGAACUCCGAUUGCGAAGGCAGCGCACCGGCGCCCUACUGACGCUCAGGCACGAAAGCGUGGGUAUCGAACAGG
rnacentral:rRNA from 1 species